rnacentral:rRNA from 1 species
GACGAACGCUGGCGGCGUGCCUAAUACAUGCAAGUCGAACGAGAGCGACCGGUGCUUGCACUGGUCAAUCUAGUGGCGAACGGGUGAGUAACACGUGGGUAACCUGCCCAUCAGAGGGGGAUAACAUCCGGAAACGGAUGCUAAAACCGCAUAGGUCUUCGAACCGCAUGGUUUGAAGAGGAAAAGAGGCGCAAGCUUCUGCUGAUGGAUGGACCCGCGGUGCAUUAGCUAGUUGGUGAGGUAACGGCUCACCAAGGCCGUGAUGCAUAGCCGACCUGAGAGGGUGAUCGGCCACAUUGGGACUGAGACACGGCCCAAACUCCUACGGGAGGCAGCAGUAGGGAAUCUUCCGCAAUGGACGCAAGUCUGACGGAGCAACGCCGCGUGAGUGAAGAAGGUUUUCGGCUCGUAAAACUCUGUUGUUAGAGAAGAACAAGUGCUAGAGUAACUGUUAGCGCCUUGACGGUAUCUAACCAGAAAGCCACGGCUAACUACGUG